UUUAUUUUACUACUAUUAGGAAGAGUGAGUUCCAACUCACUUUCUCGUCACUCUUUUUUUUUUUUUUUAUUUAUAUAUAUAUAUUGCUUGAUUUUGUCAAUAUGGGAUACUAUGUUCAAAACACGAUUAAUAUAAUAUUGUAGUUUGUGCUCCGUAUUUAAAACUUUAUUAUAUUAGUGUUUGCUAUGAAUACGCACGUGGCAAUAAAUCCAUCAUUAUUGACUUAAUGAGAUACUUUGGAAAUUACAUGAAUAUUGUUUGAUUUUUUAAUACGGGGUGCACUUUUUUUUUUUGACAUUAUUAAUUUGCACUAUUUUUUUAAUAUUAGUUGUUGUUUAAUAUAUAUGGGGCCCACAUUUUUUUUUUAAUUAAAUUAGAACGGAUAUAUAUAUAUUAGAAUUAUGGGACCCACAAUUAUUUUUUUAUAUUAGUUGUUGUUUAAAUAAUAUAUAUGGGGCACACAAUUUUCCUCUUUAAUAAAUGGUUUUUUCCAGAUUUAUAUUUGUUCCAUUUGAAGCCAUUGAGAAGUAUUAACAAGUAGCAUGUGUUGGUUUAGUGGAAUGCCUUGGAAUAAUAAAAUGCUUUUCUAGCUUACAUAUAUGUAUGUCUUCUCGCUUUUCAUAGUUCUCUUUACCCCCCUUUUCGAGGAUUGGAGUAAUCAUGUUUAAAGUACUUAUCAAGCAGUAAAUGGAAUUACACCAGACAAAUUGUAUUGUUGAGCCGGAGAAAGCAGGAAAGUACUUCCACUGUUAGAGCUAGCUUUUCUUAUUUAUUGCUGCUUGCAUUUGAGUUUCAUUAUUUCGUUCGCAGUUCAGGGUUUCAUAACGUUAUCUGCAGGUAAAAUCUCUCCUGCCCAAUGUUUACUAUUUUUACCCUUGAGUUCAAUUUAAUACGCAUUAUCCAUGCCCGUGCCUGUCAAACAGCUCGCAUUGGCAGGGAGCAUCCGUCCUCCUCUAUUUAUCUGUUUUCUUUUAAAUUUUGGAGAAAAGAGUUCCUCCGUGGAUUGAUCUUUGUUAGGAAGGCAAUGCACAUUCAUAGGAAAGUAAGUUCCUUUGAAAUUUUGCUAUCCAUAUUUUUCAAUACCUAAUUAGUAUUACAGGGUGUUUUGGUGUUAAUUGAUAACUCCUGAGGAUCAUUUACGCAAACUGGGAAUACAUACAAUAACGUGAAGAGGAAGAGUGGGAGGGUGCUGCAUCUCUUAACCUGGUUCCGUAAUAGCACUUUUGUCUAUUUGUAGCUUCUGAUUAGGAUGAGGCCACAUUGGAGGAAAAUAAUAUGUUUUAGAUUUUAUCUAUCACAAGCCUCUAUAUACACGCAUGCAAUAUUCUAUCAGUAAUUUAGUGCCUACGGUGAUAUGAAAUGUAAUAUAUUUAAUUUAUUGUAAUUAAAAAGGAGUGUAGUUGUUUGAUUAAGGUCAUAUUGAACAGGAAAAGGAAGCACUCGAUCAUAUGCUUUAAUAAGUUGUUGUUAAAGACAGAGGAUUUUUUUGUUAUUGCAGGUAAAAAUACUGUAGUGAAAGUGGGAUUUCAGCUUGUUAGGCCAGGAAAAAAAUUCCUUCUCGAUUUCCCAGUAUUUGCGAUUGUCUAAUUCUGAUGUUGUGACAAAUUUCAUUGAGGGACUUACUGAGAUCUAUUUCAGGUUAUGGUUAUCUUGAGGGCUGAUGUUUCUGGUAAAAAGUAUGACAACAUAGCUAUCAUAUCAGGUAUUUCCAUUUGAAGUUUUGAACUAGGUCCCAUCUCUAUUUCAGUACUGGAAUUUUCUUUUUAUUAGUACCACUAACAAUAGUGCAUUCAAAGCUAUAUUCAUAAAUUGAAAAUGGAUGAAGCUUGAUAGAUUAAUCUGAUUUGUAUGAUAUGGUGAUGAAACUAGAAAGCCUCUUAUAACAAGUUAAACUACAGGUCUCUUGUGCAUAGGUUUCCUCACUUCUUCUGAAAGAAAAAACAAUUUUUUGUGAGAUUCUCUACAGUUUUGUGCUUAAAACUAAAUACGAUUUUCAGUAGUUCCUUAAUCUCUUUUUUGGUGGAUUAUAAAACCUUAAAAAAAAUGAUUCUGUACAAACAGCAACCAAAUAACUAUACUAAUUGAGUCCUCAUAAGUGCACUAGAAGUCUCAUAAACAAAAUUGUUUUCCACACUUUCAAGGAAUUGCAACGGACGACGAGAAAGUGAGUUGGAACUCACUCUUCUUAAUAGUAGUAAUAAGCAGAACAUAAAGAUGAGUCUACGGAGGAAGAAGAAGAAUCUGAAACAGCCACUUUAUUGUAAACAAAUUAAAGUAGCAAUCAAUAUGUGGUCGUGGGCUGAAUUAGAAGGUUUCUUCAGUACGUGGGCUGACUUUUGCCAAAGGAGUAUUUAAUUUAUUAAGCUUUUGUUUUUGUUAAUUUAAUUAAUUAAGUAGUAGAUUAUGUAUAAAAAUAUAGGGAAAAAUGCCAAAAAAAAAGGAGAUAAAAGAUAAAUAGAAAUGAAGGUCAUAGAGAGGUGUCGCAUCACCUUGUCUAUGCCUAGCUUUAUGUUAUAUAUAGAUUUUUAAGCGGGUAGAUAUAUACAAACUAGGAAUAUGGUUUGUCUCCAGCUUUAUUAUUAUUAUUAUUUUUACGAUAUAUAAGAUUUCAUCAUAUGCCCAAUGUCCAGCUUUGGUUCAUAAUGUGAUCUCUCAAUCUUUAAAUUCUUUCUUUAUUAAAUCAAAUAUAAUUAACAUCGUCCUAUCCUUGAGCUACGAACUGGAUUGUACUAAAUUUAAAACCCACUGCAACUAGUAUUAUCUGAUGUCAUUAUUUUCGUAAAAACAAAUAAUGAAAUUAAAGCUCAUAAUAGUAUCUUUUCUUAUAUUUUUUAAAAAAAUAUAUGGUAUUCAAUAAAAGGACUUUGUCAAUUUUGUCUCAAACAAGCAAACAUUCUCCUGUGGGUAAUUAGUUGGUGCAGAAAAUAAACUGAAACCAUGCAUUAGAUUGAUAUGCAGUACUUUGUCUUACCGGUGUUUUAAAAAGCAAGACCGCGAAGCCAGGCGCAAGCCCCAUUAAAUUUUUAUGUUUUAAUAUUUUAUAAUUACUAUAUAGGAAUAGAUUAAAAACAUAAAAUUACACUGAAAUUUCAAGAAAAAAUAGAGUAACUGAAAAUGUAUAUAGUACUACUUCAUCUUAAAACGCUAAUCAGAAUCAACAAUUGACUAAAAAUGAAUCAGAAUUCUUUUAUCUAAAAAAUUAAUCAAUUUUUUUAAAAUAAAUGAGAAGAAAUUAUAUAACUAACUUAAAAAGAAAGAAAAGAGAAGAAGGAACCUACAGUUAGAAGCAUCGAACCGGAGCAACUGUGAAGGAUGAUGCAUUUUUUGCUUUGUAAUUUGCUAAUUGACCAUUUUCCUCUUUACCUAGUGAAGAGAAAGAAUAAAAGUUAGACCAAUUUUUUUUUUUUUUUGAAAACCUUUCAACUUCUUAGAAUUUAAUAACAAGCCGAGUUUUAUGUUAUUUUUAUAUUAAACUAAGGACUUAUUUAGCAAUUUAAAAUUCUAAUUAGAAAAGCACUUUCUCGAUUUAAACUCCAAAACAAAACUUGCCAACACCUAAGAGUAUGCCUAAAAUAAUGAGGUUUACGUCUCACAUUACUUUCACCCCCUCCCCACUUUCAAGACCGCUUGGUGUUUUAUUUUCUUGCCCCACCCCCGGACUCGUCCAAAAAACUGUCUUUUAAUACAUUGGUUCUCAUAAAAUUGUCUUGUGCUACAAAUAUAAGGUUGCUGAUAAUGCCUUUUAAGAUUCAGAUCUCGCUGAAUGUUAUGUUGAUGUGCUUCAAAGUUAUGAACUGGAUAAAAGGAAAGUGGUAAGUGAUAGGCUAGACAAAUUUAAGGAGUUGAAAUUGGUUAUAAUCUUUAGGCCCAAGAAGCUAGACAGGAGAUGAACUUUUAUGCUUUGGUUAAUAAGAAGAAGUUGAAAACAAUCAAGGACGAUACAAUAAAAUUUAGGUAUCAGUGUGAUAGUUGGUGAUUAUCUCUUUAUGUGCCUCGUAUCAUAGGAUGGGACGUUAACUACUUAUAAAGUUAAAAUCUUGGUGUCUAGGCAUACUUGUAUGGAUUGUUAAUGGUUGAGGCAGUUGUAGCAGCUGCUUAUUUUGAGCAGCAAAUUCAAAGCAAUUCAAAAUAUUCUACCAAGGACAUGAAAGGACAGUUGAAUCUAAUUUUAGUUUGAAUUUCUCAAAAUCUAGGCUGAAAAAGGCAAAAAGAAUGAUUCUUGAUAAGUUAAAAGCAGUUUCAAGAAUGACUGUAACAGGCUUGAAGUUUAUGAUCAGAAACUUAGGCAGUCAAAUUUUAGGAACUGAUAUUGUAAUUAAUAUAUCUCUAGAGAUGCACUUGGACAAAGUAAAAUAAGGGUCUUGAGAAUGUACAUUUGCUUCAAGGCUAUGAAGGAUGAAUAGAAAGUUUGAAACUUCUAAUUGGUUUGAUCAAUGAAGUUUUUCUAAAAAGAAGACAUAAGGGUCAACUAUUGAUGUCUAUUGAGCACGAUUCCAUGAACCACUUUUAACCACUAGCUUGGGCAGUGGGAGACAAGAAAACCACCAGGAGUUGGUUUAUUCAGUCGUUGAAGGUGUUUGGAGCUGAAGAGUGGUGAAGUUGUGACAAUCAUUUUUGACAUGCAAAACGCAACGGUGCUGAUUUUUUUCACUGAUUUCUGCCCUUUACUUUUCCUUUUUCUUGUUAUUUGACUUUGUGUAACUUGCAGUGUCUAGCUAAUGCUGUAAAAAAUGUUCUUCCAGAAGCCAAACAUAGGCCCUGUGUUAGUGAUGUCGCCCAAAUUACACCUUUUAAUGAUGUAAAGCGGUCGUUGUCCAAUAUAUAACUCAACUAGGUUGGGGUCGAAUCCCAUAGAGACUACGAUGAGAAACACAUCCUAUUCGUUUAUGUAAUUGACUUUACUAGGUUCUUUAUUAAUGGUUUGAAAUGUUUGUUCACUCACACUUUGUUAAAUUGAAACUAUUUGA